rnacentral:rRNA from 1 species
CAGCCGCCGCGGGAAUACGGAGGAUCCGAGCGUUAUCCGGAUUUAUUGGGUUUAAAGGGUGCGUAGGCGGCCUGUUAAGUCAGGGGUGAAAGACGGUGGCUCAACCAUCGCAGUGCCCUUGAUACUGAUGGGCUUGAAUGUACUAGAGGUAGGCGGAAUGAGACAAGUAGCGGUGAAAUGCAUAGAUAUGUCUCAGAACACCGAUUGCGAAGGCAGCUUACUAUGGUACUAUUGACGCUGAGGCACGAAAGCGUGGGGAUCGAACAGGAUUAGAUACCCCCGUAGUCCCUGUCUCUUAUAA